AUGAGCCGGAAGGAGGCGGAGGCGGGGGGAGGGGAGGGCUCGUCGUCGCGGGCGGAGGGGGGCGGGGAGCUGGCGGAGGCGCUGGCGCGGCGGCGGCUGUACCGGGAGGUGACGCUGGCGCUGCGGGCCGGGCUGCGCGACGCCGGGGCCGACUUCUCCUUCCUCCGCGCGCGGGGGCUCCGCGGCCUGCUCGGCUUCCUCCGCGCCACCGCCGCCGCGCCCGACGACUCGCAGCAGCAGCUGCUCCUCUUCCGCCACUCCCAGUCCAUCCCCGAUCUCCAAGUUAUUCCAGUUCUCUUUCAGAAUUCAUUGCAUCAACCAAAGGAUACCGUUGCGACACUGGAUCAUAUAUUUGGAGUCGAACCAACGAAGAUUACGAGCCCCUCAACAGAUUCCGAAAUUGCUCUAGCUCUUCGAGUUUUGGAAGGUUGCUGCCUUUUGUAUAGCAGAUGCACUGCUCUGGCCCACAAGUACAAGGCUGUGCAGGUACUGCUGAAUAUAUUAGCCAGCCGAGGUCCAACUGAGCAAGGGGUGUGCUUAGAUGCUCUCAUAUCGUUGAUGUUGGAUUCACCUUCGAAUCAGAUUGACUUUGAGGAAUACAGUGGACUUGAAAAGGUUGCUGAGCUUUUGAAGGAUGUUCAAGUGGAAGAACACAUAAGGUUGAAAUGCGGGGAAUUCCUACUGUUGCUCAUCGGCCAUGUUUAUGUGAAGGAAAACACUCCCAUACAUGAACAGAUGAGAAACCUACUCGGGGAGCAGUGCGCGUCGCUCAUAUGGGCAGCGAGCCGGUUUGGAUCCACCCUCGACGCGGAUCAGAGGCAGAUGGCCCUGCAAAUACAAGCGAGGAGAGUCGUUGAAUCCUUGGAGCCCUACUAG
rnacentral:rRNA from 1 species